rnacentral:rRNA from 1 species
UACGGGGGGGGCAAGCGUUGUUCGGAAUUACUGGGCGUAAAGGGCUCGUAGGUGGCCAACUAAGUCAGACGUGAAAUCCCUCGGCUUAACUGGGGAACUGCGUCUGAUACUGGAUGGCUUGGAUCCGGAAGAGGGAUGCGGAAUUCCAGGUGUAGCGGUGAAAUGCGUAGAUAUGCGGAGGAACACCGAUGGCGAAGGCAAUCCCCUGGGCCUGCACUGACGCUCAUGCACGAAAGCGUGGGGAGCAGACAGG